UUCUCUAGUGGAUCAGCAAUGGGGGAUUUUCGCAAUGAGAGUAAAAGACUAUCCCUCUUCUCUUCCUCUUAGAAUCCCUAGUUUCAGAUGUUACAUGACUUGCAGCGUGUCCUGUCACAACCUCCCUUCUUCAUUCUCUGCUGUGUGAGAGGAAAUGGGAACACUCAUCGGCAAAGGGAAUUUCUUAAGGAACUCUUAUUGCUGGUGCUGCUGUUGUUUGAGACUUCCAGAAGCCCAUUUUCUCCUGUUAUUGGACGUACUUAGAAGAACUGGCGGGACAUCUGCAGCUCUUUCCCAUCCCUGCAAUCUGCUUUGACACCACCAUGUUAACAGCUGAAUCCUUUAUGUGAUAAUUAUACGAACAAAUGUAAGUACUGUUUUCAUAAUGGAUGUCCAUAGAGAACAUUACCCGAAACAAUUCAGCCUAAGCCCACAAUUAUAUAACGUUCCUAUUCAUGAGAUGAUGUCACAGAGUCCAAAGAAGGUCAAAGAGACUUGGGAAAUGGCCUUUUAAAGAGUUCUUAGACUAUAAGUGUUUAUUGGAAAGAUCUCAAAUAGUUGUAUUAUUUCAUAAACCUCAGGAUAAACCUGACAAGAAUGUUUUGAUCAAGAUUCAAUCAGUUGCUUUUCUGAACAAUUUUAGGUUACUGUUAGGUUAGAAUUUCCAUAGAAGAAGAUAGAAGUGUUUGUUUUUA
rnacentral:lncRNA from 1 species